AUGGCUGACAGACAGCUCACACUGUUGGUGGUUGCUGUGUUUGUUUGGAGUGGUGCUGAAGGUUGGAGCAUAACAGAGUCUGAACCAGCAGUGAAAAGACCUGGAGAGUCCCACAGACUCACCUGUACAACAUCUGGAAUAUCAUUUAGUAGCUACUGGAUGAACUGGAUCAGACAGACUCCUGGAAAAGGACUGGAAUGGAUCGCUUAUCGAAUAUGCAGCGAUGGUAGCAGCAAUACUACUCUCAGUCAGUUCCAAGGCAGGUUCAUCAUCUCCAGAGACAACAGCAAAGAGCAGCUGUAUCUGCAGAUGAACAGCCUGAAGACUGAAGAUUCUGCUGUUUAUUAUUGUGCUCGAGACACACAGUGA